GAUGAACGCUGGCGGCGUGCCUAAUACAUGCAAGUCGAGCGAACGGACGAGAAGCUUGCUUCUCUGAUGUUAGCGGCGGACGGGUGAGUAACACGUGGAUAACCUACCUAUAAGACUGGGAUAACUUCGGGAAACCGGAGCUAAUACCGGAUAAUAUUUUGAACCGCAUGGUUCAAAAGUGAAAGACGGUCUUGCUGUCACUUAUAGAUGGAUCCGCGCUGCAUUAGCUAGUUGGUAAGGUAACGGCUUACCAAGGCAACGAUGCAUAGCCGACCUGAGAGGGUGAUCGGCCACACUGGAACUGAGACACGGUCCAGACUCCUACGGGAGGCAGCAGUAGGGAAUCUUCCGCAAUUGGCGAAAGCCUGACGGAGCAACGCCGCGUGAGUGAUGAAGGUCUUCGGAUCGUAAAACUCUGUUAUUAGGGAAGAACAUAUGUGUAAGUAACUGUGCACAUCUUGACGGUACCUAAUCAGAAAGCCACGGCUAACUACGUG
rnacentral:rRNA from 1 species